AGAGUUUGAUCCUGGCUCAGGACGAACGCUGGCGGUGUGCUUAACACAUGCAAGUCAACGAGAAUUUAUCUUCGGAUAAUAGUAAAGUGGCGAACGGGUGAGUAACGCGUAAAUAACUUGCCUCGGAGAUUGGGACAACAUUGGGAAACCAGUGCUAAUACCAAAUAAUGCAGCGGGCCCUUUGGGGUAUUGUUGUUAAAGUAGGCUUCGGCUUACACUUCGAGAUAGAUUUGCGUCCGAUUAGUUAGUUGGUAGGGUAAUAGCCUACCAAGACCGAGAUCGGUAGCUGGUCUGAGAGGAUGAUCAGCCACACUGGAAUUGAGAUACGGUCCAGACUCCUACGGGAGGCAGCAGUGAGGAAUUUUGCACAAUGGGCGAAAGCCUGAUGCAGCAACACCGCGUGAUUGAUGAAGUUUUUAGGAAUGUAAAAAUCUGUCGUAAGGGAAGAAAU
rnacentral:rRNA from 1 species